rnacentral:tRNA from 1 species
GUAUGGGUGGUUCAGUGGUAGAAUUCUUGCCUCCGAUGUGGGAGAUCCAGGUUCGAUUCCCAGCCAAUGCA